UACCAGCACCCCGAGCGGUCGGGACGAUUAUUGGGCCUAAAGCAUCCGUAGCCGGUCCUACAAGUCUUCCGUUAAAUCCACCUGCUUAACAGAUGGGCUGCGGAAGAUACUAUAGGGCUAGGAGGCGGGAGAGGCAAGCGGUACUCAGUGGGUAGGGGUAAAAUCCUCUGAUCCAUUGAAGACCACCAGUGGCGAAGGCGGCUUGCCAGAACGCGCUCGACGGUGAGGGAUGAAAGCUGGGGGAGCAAACCGG
rnacentral:rRNA from 1 species